AUUGAACGCUGGCGGCAUGCCUUACACAUGCAAGUCGAACGGCAGCACGGGAGCAAUCCUGGUGGCGAGUGGCGAACGGGUGAGUAAUAUAUCGGAACGUGCCCAGUCGUGGGGGAUAACGCAGCGAAAGCUGUGCUAAUACCGCAUACGAUCUAAGGAUGAAAGCGGGGGAUCGCAAGACCUCGCGCGAUUGGAGCGGCCGAUAUCAGAUUAGCUAGUUGGCGGGGUAAAGGCCUACCAAGGCAACGAUCUGUAGUUGGUCUGAGAGGACGACCAGCCACACUGGGACUGAGACACGGCCCAGACUCCUACGGGAGGCAGCAGUGGGGAAUUUUGGACAAUGGGCGCAAGCCUGAUCCAGCCAUGCCGCGUGUCUGAAGAAGGCCUUCGGGUUGUAAAGGACUUUUGUCCGGGAGCAAAUGCCUGGUGUUAAUAGCACUGGGAGCUGAGAGUACCGGAAGAAUAAGCACCGGCUAACUACGUGCCAGCCGCCGCGGUAAAAC
rnacentral:rRNA from 1 species